AACGAACGCUGGCGGCAGGCUUAACACAUGCAAGUCGAACGCCCCGCAAGGGGAGUGGCAGACGGGUGAGUAACGCGUGGGAACAUACCCUUUCCUGCGGAAUAGCUCCGGGAAACUGGAAUUAAUACCGCAUACGCCCUACGGGGGAAAGAUUUAUCGGGGAAGGAUUGGCCCGCGUUGGAUUCGCUAGUUGGUGGGGUAAAGGCCUACCAAGGCGACGAUCCAUAGCUGGUCUGAGAGGAUGAUCAGCCACAUUGGGACUGAGACACGGCCCAAACUCCUACGGGAGGCAGCAGUGGGGAAUAUUGGACAAUGGGCGCAAGCCUGAUCCAGCCAUGCCGCGUGAGUGAUGAAGGCCUUAGGGUUGUAAAGCUCUUUCACCGGAGAAGAUAAUGACGGUAUCCGGAGAGGAAGCCCCGGCUAACUUCGUGCCAGCCGCCGCCGUAA
rnacentral:rRNA from 1 species